rnacentral:rRNA from 1 species
UAACUCAAUAGAAUUGACGGGGACCCGCACAAGCGGUGGAGCAUGUGGUUUAAUUCGAAGCAACGCGAAGAACCUUACCAAAUCUUGACAUCCUUUGAAAACUCUAGAGAUAGAGCCUUCCCCUUCGGGGGACAAAGUGACAGGUGGUGCAUGGUUGUCGUCAGCUCGUGUCGUGAGAUGUUGGGUUAAGUCCCGCAACGAGCGCAACCCUUAAGCUUAGUUGCCAUCAUUAAGUUGGGCACUCUAGGUUGACUGCCGGCGACAACCCGGAGGAAGGUGGGGAUGACGUCAAAUCAUCAUGCCCCUUAUGAUCUGGGCUACACACGUGCUACAAUGGACAAUACAAAGGGCAGCUAAACCGCGAGGUCAUGCAAAUCCCAUAAAGUUGUUCUCAGUUCGGAUUGUAGUCUGCAACUCGACUACAUGAAGCUGGAAUCGCUAGUAAUCGUAGAUCAGCAUGCUACGGUGAAUACGUUCCCGGGUCUUGUACACACCGCCCGUCACACCACGAGAGUUUGUAACACCCGAAGCCGGUGGAGUAACCAUUUAGGAGCUAGCCGUCGAAGGUGGACAAAAGGGGG